AGAACCUCAGAAUAAUAAAAACAAAACACGUUAAUGCAAACUACACCAAUGUACAUAUUACUUGGGAGCAAAUGGCACUUCAUAAUUAUAACAUCUGUCAUUGACCUCACAGCUCAACUGCUUCAAUAGACAACCAGUCAGACAGCAAAUUGGACCGUCGGACAGCCAGUUGGACAGCCAGUUGGACAGCCAGUUGAUUGGAUAGUUGGACAGCCAGUUGAUUGGAUAGUUGGACAGCCAGUUGAUCGGAUAGUUGGACAGCCAGUUGAUCGGAUAGUUGGACAGCCAGUUGGACAGCCAGUUGGACAGCCAGUUGGACAGCCAGUUGAUUGGAUAGUUGGACAGCCAGUUGAUCGGAUAGUUGGACAGCCAGUUGAUUGGAUAGUUGGACAGCCAGUUGAUUGGAUAGUUGGACAGCCAGUUGAUCGGAUAGUUGGACAGCCAGUUGAUCGGAUAGUUGGACAGUCAGUUGAUCGGAUAGUUGGACAGUCAGUUGAUCGGAUAGUUGGACAGCCAGUUGAUCGGAUAGUUGGACAGCCAGUUGAUCGGAUAGUUGGACAGCCAGUUGAUCGGAUAGUUGGACAGCCAGUUGGACAGCCAGUUGGACAGCCAGUUGAUUGGAUAGUUGGACAGCCAGUUGGACAGCCAGUUGAUUGGAUAGUUGGACAGCCAGUUGGACAGCCAGUUGGACAGCCAGUUGGACAGCCAGUUGAUUGGAUAGUUGGACAGUCAGUUGAUUGGAUAGUUGGACAGUCAGUUGAUUGGAUAGUUGGACAGUCAGUUGAUCGGAUAGUUGGACAGCCAGUUGAUCUGAUAGUUGGACAGCCCAUUGAUUGGAUAGUUGGACAGCCAGUUGGACAGCCAGUUGAUCGGAUAGUUGGACAGCCAGUUGAUCAGAUAGUUGGACAGCCAGUUGAUCAGAUAGUUGGACAGCC